rnacentral:tRNA from 14 species
GGUGAGGUUGGAGAGUGGUCAAAUCCAGGAGACUGUAAAUCUCCCGCCUAUGGCUUCGAAGGUUCAAAUCCUUCUCUCACCACCA